UACGUAGGCAGCGAGCGUUGUUCGGAGUUACUGGGCGUAAAGGGUGUGUAGGCGGUUCUUUAAGUUUGGCGUGAAAUCUCCCGGCUCAACCGGGAGGGUGCGUCGAAUACUGAGGGACUAGAGUACGGGAGAGGAAAGUGGAAUUCCUGGUGUAGCGGUGAAAUGCGUAGAUAUCAGGAGGAACACCGGUGGUGUAGACGGCUUUCUGGACCGUAACUGACGCUCAGGCACGAAAGCAUGGGGAGCAAAAGGG
rnacentral:rRNA from 1 species